rnacentral:tRNA from 1 species
UGGAGAGGUGGCAGAGUGGUCGAUCGCGCUCGACUUGAAAUCGAGUAACCAGAAAUGGUUCGUGGGUUCAAAUCCCACCCUCUCCGU